CAAGUCCAAGUGUAAUCGUACGCGCACCCUCUCUCACACACUACACGCACUGCGCCCUUCCCCAUCUCUCUCUCUCACACACACGCACAAUAUAACCGCCUGCCUUACUUUUUCUCGUAUACCUAUUGCUAGGGUUUCCUCGCGAUUGAGGAUAUUCGCGAUCGGCCCUUCUGCCGCUCUCGUCUCCGUUUCCGUUUCCGUUUCCGUUUCCGUCUCAUCCACCAAUUCAGGGUUUUGAAUUGAAGUGGAGCUUUAUCUUGAAUCUGGGUUAUUUGUUCGAGGUAAUGUUACUGUUGAAUGGCGAUUGAAAAGAAUAGCUUUAAGGUAGCACGUUUUGACCUGGAGUUUCAAUCCCCUCACAGUAGGGAUACACAUACACCUAUGUCUAGCGAUGACGAUGCAGAUUUUCAGCGGAAUCCUGGUGCUCCUGCUGUUGAAUCUGAUGAUGAUGAUGAUGAUGAAUUUGAUGAUUGUGAUUCCGGAGCAGGUUCAGAUGACUUUGAUUUGUUGGAAUUGGGUGAAUCUGGCGAGGAGUUUUGCCAGGUUGGCGAUCAAACAUGUAGCAUUCCUUAUGAACUGUAUGAUCUCCCAGGGUUGAAAGAUGUGCUCUCCAUGGAGGUUUGGAAUGAGACUUUAACCGAAGAAGAAAGAUUUGGUCUUUCCAAGUAUCUGCCUGAUAUGGACCAAGAAAACUUUAUGUGUACGCUCAAAGAACUAUUUUCUGGUGAUAAUUUGCAUUUUGGGAGCCCCAUUGAUAAGUUGUUUGAGAUGUUGAAGGGAGGAUUAUGCGAGCCAAGGGUGGCACUCUACAAAAAGGGUUUGAAUUUUUUUCAGAGAAAACAGCACUAUCAUACCUUGCAGAUGCAUCAUAACGGUUUAGUAAACAAUAUUUGUCAGAUUAGAGAUGCAUGGAUGAAUUGCAGGGGGUACAGUAUUGAGGAGAAGCUUCGUGUAUUGAACAUUAUGAGGAGUCAGAAGAGUUUGAUGAAUGAAAACAUGGAAGAGUUUCAAAGCGAUUCAUCUGAUAGGGAAGAGUCUGCUGAUGGUUUGUGGGACAAAAGGCUGAAGGAUUCAAAACUUGUUCAGAAGACAGGUCGUCAUUCAGCACACAGCAUGGGUCCAGCAUCAGAUAUUUCUUCUCAAACCCGGAAAACCAAAAGCAACAUGGAAUCAGCCAAGUUUGAAAAACGAUUUCCUAGAGGAACUCUGAAGCUGGGUGGAUCUAAAACCACUUCAGGGAGAGAGUUGGCAGAACCUUUUUCUUCAACUCACCCUGGACGCUAUGGUUUGGGACUUCCUGACUCUCAUUAUAAUAUAGAUUCAGGACGUGACCCUUCUGCUGCAGUUGGGAAGAAUGAUCAGGUUCUAGAGUAUGAUGAUGAGGAAGACACAAUGGUUGAAGUGGCAGUCCGUAGAGAUCGGAAUUUACAUCGAGUUGGGGUAAACGAUAAGUCUAUAGCUUCUAAAUGGAAGAAACAUGAAGAGGAUAAAGAUAGUUUUAUGCAAAGUCAUAUGUCAGGGAGGAACAAUUUACAUGCUCUUGGGAGGAAUAGGGCUAUCAACAAGUUGUCUGAUAUCAAGGUCUUAACUGCAAAGCCAUCUAAUGCAAGAAACAUGUAUGACAGUGGAAAAAAGGUUAAAUACUCAGAAAAUCAUCAGCUAUUUACUGCUGAAAAUCAGAUGAAACUUGGUAAGGGUCAGAAGUUGCAUUCAUCUUUAAAAGGAAGUCAAAUGGAACUUUUAGAUGCAAAUGAUCCUGCGUGGCUUAAACAUGAGGGGAUUUUCCCCACCACUGAUUUGAACACCAGAAAUAAGAAGUGGAAGAUGAGUAGGGAAGGCAUUGAUCUUAAUGCGAAUGAUAAAUUUUUGCCCACUGAAUAUAGAGCCAGGCCUUCGCAGGAUAAGUUCCAGGGAAGUUCCCAGAAUGGAAAAAGAGACGGUGUUGGAAACAGAGUUGGGUUGUUUUCCAAAGCUGAAGACACAGAAUCAGAUUCAUCAGAACCUAUGGAUGAGGAUGAUGAUGAUGAUGAUGAUGAUGACAAUCCGUUGAUGAGGAGCAAGUGGGCUUACCCUGGUGGUGUGCCAGAGCUGAGACUUGGCUCAGAUGCAAAGAAGUCCCAAUUUUCAGAGAGAGAUGAGAAAGAAAGGUAUCCAAUGGGUGAUGGAUCAUCACAUUCUCGAAUGAUGCAGGAUUAUAGCCACACCCUAGAUAUGAUGAGAUCAGAACAGAAGGGUAAGAUGCAUGAUGUUGCCCACUUUAAUAUGUUGCCCAAAGAUUUGAAUAAAUACUAUUAUCCAGGAGGGAUUGGCACUGAAGAACAGCAUCAGAUCCACCCAUUGGGAAGAAAUGGCCAUGUAGAAGGGACCCAUGGUGAUAAUUUCCAAGCGCCAUUGAAAUCCUCUCUCGUACUGGGUAGAAGGCGGAAAGGUGAAGUUCCUCAUGAUUUCAGCCAUCUUCAAUCAAACUAUAUGCAAGGCCAUCAGUUUGAAAAUGAUUUAUUCUGGACUCGACCACCAGGAGCAUCUAAUGGGCUACCUUUCAAAUUGGGGAAGAAAGGCCACUUGGUUGACUUGUCUGCUAGUCAUCAUCCUGAAAGAUCAGAUAUAGCAUUGCUAGGCUGCAAUGCUCUCUCAAAAAAGCGGAAAGUAAAGGACGACCUGACCUACUUGGAAUUGCAAGAAAAUAAUCACUUCCUUCAUGCUGAUGCUGAGCCGCAGUUAGAUGAUGUCAGUUCUUCAAGGAAACGGGGUAAACACAAAUUAGAGGAGGCAUCUGAUAGUCUAGAGAAUGGAGGUCCUCAGCCUCCUGGUAUGGAAAUGGAAGUAGAAGAUAUUGAGGCAGAAACUAAGCGGCCCAAAAAGUCAUUUCCCUUGAUCACACCUACGGUUCACAAUGGCUUCUCAUUCUCUAUAAUUCAUCUUCUUUCAGCCGUUCGUAUGGCUAUGGUUACACUGUUUCCUGAAGAUUCUUCAGAAACUGGAAAACACCCUGAUAAGACUGAUGCUGAACAGGGGGUCAAGGAAGAGCAAAGCAGCAAGCAAGAAGAUGCUAUUGCUAAUUCAAAUCCAAGCAUGGGCGUUGACGCUUCUAUGCCAUUAUCCCUGGCAAAUGUUCCUUUCCUCACUGUUCAGGAAAUUGUCAAUCGUGUUAAAUCAAAUCCUGGUGAUCCCUGUAUUCUUGAGACACAGGAGCCACUUCAGGAUUUAAUUAGAGGCGUCCUGAAAAUUUUCUCAUCCAGGACUGCUCCUCUAGGAGCAAAAGGGUGGAAACCACUUGUUGUGUAUCAAAAGUCCACAAAAAGUUGGUCAUGGAUUGGCCCUGUAUCUCAUAACUCGUCUGAUUCUGAGGCAGUUGAAGAGGUGACAUCUCCAGAUGCAUGGGGCCUCCCUCACAAAAUGCUUGUCAAAGUAGUUGACUCAUUUGCUAAUUGGCUAAAAAAUAGUCAGGAGACACUUCAACAAAUUGGCAGUCUCCCUGACCCUCCUUUGACACUGAUGCAAAUGAAUUUGGAUGAGAAAGAAAGGUUCAAGGACCUUAGAGCUCAGAAGAGUCUGAAUACCAUUGGCCCUAGCUCUGAAGAAGUAAAAGCUUAUUUUCAGAAGGAAGAAGUCCUUAGGUAUCUAAUACCAGACAGGGCUUUCUCGUACACAGCUGUUGAUGGAAAAAAAUCAAUUGUUGCACCUUUGAGGAGGUGUGGUGGCAAACCAACGUCAAAGGCCCGGGAUCAUUUUAUGUUAAAGCGUGACAGACCACCACAUGUCACAAUCCUUUGUCUGGUGAGAGAUGCUGCAGCUAGAUUGCCUGGAAGUAUUGGGACGCGAGCAGAUGUAUGCACAUUAAUUAGAGACUCGCAAUAUAUUGUGGAAGAUGUGUCUGAUGCACAGGUCAAUCAGGUAGUUAGUGGAGCGCUGGAUCGACUGCAUUAUGAGCGCGAUCCUUGUGUCCAGUUUGACGGAGAGAGAAAAUUGUGGGUUUACUUGCAUAGAGACAGAGAAGAAGAAGAUUUUGAGGAUGAUGGGACUUCAUCCACUAAGAAAUGGAGAAGACAGAAGAAAGAAGCUACUGAACCUUCUGAACCUGGAGAUGCCAGUGUUGCUUACUCUGGACCUGCGGGGCAACCAGGGUUUGAUUCGGUAUCUGAUCUUAAUGCUGACACAUUAUGCUUGGAUGAUGAGAAGAGAUCUGAUCCGGAAUAUCAAAAUGGUAAUGAUCAGGUGGAGGACAAUGCUGAAAUUAGCCAUGGUUCUGAUCCUGGUCCAGCACCAGGGAUGUGGAAUGGCCUUGGUCAGAAAUCUACUGAAGAAACUAAGUUAAUCUGCCAAGAGAAUUCGACUAAUGAAGAAUUUGAUGAGGAAGCAUUUGGUGGGGAGCCACCAGCAUAAUUGUUGAACAUAAAACCUUCAUCGUUAGCAGAAAAAAGGUAUUACAAUGCAGCUUACAGUGCUGAUGCAGUGUCUAGUUUGUUCUUGAUUACUAUUGCUCUCUCAGAUUUAGAGAAAAUGACUUUUUGAGCAUGUCAGCAUCCUGUGUAAAAUAAUGAUCAUGACAGGCUUAAAAAUGGUUCUGUUGUAAUAUCUUUUUAUAGGGAACAUGAAUACUUUUUUCACUUCAAUGAUAAGAUCUGCUGGGGCCUUAUUCCACUUGGCUUCCCAGCCAAUUGUUGCAUUACAGAGGUCCCCCUACGCUGGUUGCAGAAUUUCUUCUUUGUUGGAGACGAUGAAAGAGUGGUGGUGCUACUGCUAGCGGAUGUCAUGAUUCAUGAAUGUCAUUUUGGUAUAUUGAUUUCAAGUCCGUGUACAUAUAUCCAUAAUUACCCUCUUACUUGGCCGUAUAAAAAUUUUUAUUUUAA